UCCGUAGGCGGUGUGGUAAGUCGAUAGUGAAAUCUCUGGGCUUAACCCAGAGGCUGCUAACGAAACUGCCAUGCUAGAGUGUGAGAGAGGCGAGUGGAAUUACGGGUGUAGCGGUGAAAUGCGUAGAUAUCCGUAGGAACAUCCGAGGCGAAGGCGGCUCGCUGGAUCACAACUGACGCUGAGGGCGAAAGCUAGGGGAGCAAACAGGAUUAGAUACCCUGGUAGUCCUAGCCCUAAACCAUCAGGACUUGGGGUUUGCCCUGUACGGGGCAAGUCCCGUAGCUAACGCGUUAAGUCCUGCGCCUGGGGAGUACGGUCGCAAGGCUGAA
rnacentral:rRNA from 1 species